AAUGAACGCUGGCGGCAUGCCUAAUACAUGCAAGUCGAACGACAAGACAGGAAGCUUGCUCCUCUAAGGUUAGCGGCUGACGGGCGAGUGACACGUGGAUCGCCUACUUAUUAUUCUGGGAUGACUUCGGGAGGCCGGUUCCGCUAACAGCUCAUAUAUUCAACCGCAUGGAUCAGUGGUGCUACGCACCUUUCCUGUUACAAUUAGACGAUUCCGGGCCGGAUUAGCUAGUUGGUAAGGUAACGGCUCACCAAGGCAACGAUGCGUAGCCGACCUGAGAGGAUGAUCGGCCACACUGGAACUGAGACACGGUCCAGACUCCUACGGGAGGCAGCAGUGGGGAAUCUUCGACAAUGGGCGAAAGCCUGACGGAGCAAUGCCGCGUGAGUGAUGAAGGUCUUCGGAUUGUAAAACCCUGUUAUUAGGGAAGAACAAAAGUGGAUGAAACUAUGCACGUCUUGACGGUACCCAAACAGAAAGCCACGGCUAACUACGUG
rnacentral:rRNA from 1 species